CUUUAGUGCAGUAGGUAGUACUCAGUCUCAAAAGCUGAAGGUUCUGAGUUUGAUCCUCAGAAG
rnacentral:tRNA from 1 species